rnacentral:rRNA from 1 species
UACGUAGGGUGCGAGCGUUGUCCGGAAUUACUGGGCGUAGAGAGCUCGUAGGUGGUUUGUCGCGUUGUUCGUGAAAACUCACAGCUCAACUGUGGGCGUGCGGGCGAUACGGGCAGACUGGAGUACUGCAGGGGAGACUGGAAUUCCUGGUGUAGCGGUGGAAUGCGCAGAUAUCAGGAGGAACACCCGUGGCGAAGGCGACUACCUGGCCUGUUCUUGACGCUGAGGCGCGAAAGCUAGGGGAGCAAACGGG